CACCAGAUGAGAAGGUUGUUGGUGAUAUGAUGCCUACACCAGAAAAAGGACUUCCUAUCCGUCUUCACCAACACUAAAAAUUAAUUAAGAAGCCAUCACCUUUUUAGAUUAUAUUCUCUUAGCCAUCAAAAUAUAUAGGACUUUCGAUUUCAAUUAAUGAAAUUAUCAGAUUUUUCGUUUUCUUGAUCUUGUUUUAAAGUUGUGAGUUCACUAAGGACUUGUUAUUGUUAAAUUUGAGACGAUCAUGUUUUGUUAGAGAACUUUUGCACAAUUCUAUAAUUUGUUGAUUAUGUUAAGUUAAUUAAUGAGGCUUUUUAAUCUGUUGUCUUUAUUAUUCAGCAAUCACUAAGAGGUACUCGCCUAUGAUGCAUGUAGAGUUGUUGACUUUUUAACCAAAAAAAUAAAAUCUUUAGUCAAAGUCUAUUUUAAGAAGAACUCGGGUUACUGAUAACCAAAUAAUUCUCUACUUCCUCAGUAAUUCGCUUAAAAGGAAAUAAAGUUGACAAAAAGUAACUAAAAAGAAAGAAUAAUUGAUUGUACUGAAUAAGCAAGAGAAAGUGAAUAUAUUUCGAUAGUACUCCGAACGUGUUUUUAAAAAUAAGAUUCUCCUCCUUUAUAUAGGAGUUUACAAAUAUAACGUUUUCUCCUAUUUAUGACAGAAUCAUUAUGAGCUUUAGUGGCAUUAAUUGUCCGUUAUGAUUGGUAAUCGUAACUGUCUAUGAAGAUUUUGUAACGAUUCUGAUUUCCCUUCUUCAUUAAUUGUAGGUCCGUGAAUCUUUCCUCUUUCUAGUCUUGAUUCAUUCUGCUCGUGCCUCUUCAGCAAUUGUAUUAGGUUCGAAUGUUGGUUCUCCGUUAUCUCGUGGGUGUUUGCCUCGUACCUCUUGUGCUUCAUACAUCUUUUAAAUGAAAUAUAAAAGUUGUCAUUUCCUCAUUAUUCCACGUAUCAUGCUCUGUCAGCUAAAUAUAAUUCCACGUGUAUCAUUUAUUUAUCACCAAUACAGAUAGUCCCCCCACUUUCUGAAUAUUCUACAAUUGAAUAUUCGGUAAGUGGUAUGUAUUUAUGGCGGAAAUUCUUUGUCGCCGUUUCCCAAGCAUCAUUGUGCUUUCUUCAAAAUUAACGCCUCGUAUGUCACUUCCAUUUAAUGCAUAUGCCAUGUGGCUUUUGAUGAUUGGUUUUGUGGCUUCUCAGCAUUUUUUAGGACUUUUCAUACUUCUUAGGUUUUAGGAAACCUUUAUUAUACAGUGUUCUUCUUCUUCUUCAUUCUUCAUUCUUUUUACGACGCAUAUUCCUCUGUUAAUUUCUUAUACAACCAUGUCUUCAUCAACUCUUAAUCCUCGCAAAGUCGUAAUUGCUGAUGAACUUGCUCCUUCAUCUGUUCUUGUGAGAAGUAGACGAGGAGGUAGACUUCGUAGUUUAGAUUCGUUGUCCACUCUUGGUUCUUCAUCUCAAACCACUACUCCCACUUCUUCUUCUUCUAAACCUAAGGAUUCUUUAACCCCUAGAUCUUCUUCUAGAAAUAGGGAAUCGAGUGAAUCUAUACGUGAACCAACGGUUGAUGAAAUUGUUCCACCGGAAUUUUCUUUCUCAUCUGAUCGAGAAACCAAAAGAAAUCAAGUUUCUUCUUUAGCUGCUCAUGAUCGUGCCGAUCUUUAUCCUACUCAAAUUACCACUGGUUUAAUUUCUCUUAUUCGAAGAGAAUGUAACUGAAAACCUGAAUUCCUAGUUUUAGUUCCUGAUCCAAACCAAAGAAUAACCUCAUAUCAGGCUGGUUAUUUCUUUAAUUAUACAUAUCCUUUCACUUUAGGAUUUAGACCACCCAUUGACCGAGUAAUCAUUGAAUUUUGCCGCUUCUUUUAUAUAUGCCUGGGACAAAUUAGCCCCAUUAUUUGAAGGGUUGUUGCAUGCCUUCGUUACCUAUCUAACUUGGCUUCCAUGCCUUUCACCUUUCAUCAUUUGCUUCAUCUUUAUUCCCUCAAAUUAUUUCGUGAAGGGGUGUUUUCACUUGUGGCCAGAAGCAAGAGGGUAUUGGUUAGCCUUGAGGAUGAUAGAGACCGUUGCUGGUAUGCUCGCUUUGUAGCUGCUCCCACAAGUGCUUUAGUGGGUGAAGAGAAUAUGCCCUUUCCAGAAAAGUAGAAUUUUGCACGUAAGUAUUUUUCCUUUACCUUUUAUUUUCUUUCUUGAAACAAGAAACUUUUAAUCUCGUGUCUACUUUUUUAGCAACCAUGGAAGUUUUCGAGGAGAUUCCUAACUUUCAUGCUUGGGUAGAAAAGUUAUUAUCAGUUGCCCCUAUGGAGAGAAGGUCUUGGAAGUACCUUUCUCAAAGGUUUGGUUGGAAAGUCAAAACACACGGUACAUUUUCUAUUCAAUUUCUCUUCUUCUCUUGUGUUGGUUUAGAAGCUUCUUACCAAACUUCUCUCUUUUGUUAGGAUUUUCUAUUCGUGGUAUCAGUCCCGCGUCUAUUUCUUCUACAAGACUUUCUGUAUCUCUUGCUCAAGAGAGAUUGAGCUCUUCAUCGAAAAGAAAAGUUGAUGGUUUCCGUGGCUCUAAGGGUGAAGAAGAACAUGAAGAGGGUUCUUUAGUGCGCAGGCCUCAGGUUAGGAGGCGCGUUAUUUCCGAUGAUGAAGCUACCACUCCUCCAAGUUCAAUCCCUUCGAGACUUUUAGAUGAGCCCGAAAGUGCUACAUUAGUGAUUUCUGAUGAAGAGAUGAAUAUUCCUACCUGUGAUUCUGGUGAUCAGUUGUUUACCCGUGGUUUUGAUAAUGAAACCUUUGGUCCCAUUUCUGAAGAGUUGCCUCUAGCCUCUCUUCCAGUGCCAGUCCCUAUUCGUUCUCAAGCUCCCCUACCUGAAGUUGUUGCUACUGCUCCCCCAGUGACUAUUUCCACCUUCUCUACUAUUCCAGUUGCUACUACUUCUCAUGCAGAAGCUGGGCCUUCUAGUAGCAAUAAAGCGAUGAAGAAGAUUAUCAUUGAGGUUCCUGAGAGUGGGAACUUGCUGAAAGAAUCUGGUCAAGCUGAUGUAUGGUUGAAACCUGUAUUUGGUCCAGUAGAGAAGGCAAAAUUGGAGAGUCACGGCUCAUUGACUUGGAUGAAUGAUAUUGUUCAUUCAUCUCUGAAGGUUCGAUUUUUAACUUUACUUCUUUUCUUUUCCUUAUUGUUGUUUUCUCUUAUUUAACCAUAACUCCCUUCCUUUCUUUUGUAGAUCAAUUUGAUAGGCAUAUAGCUUAUGAAAAGGAUUGUUCAUACCUAGCAACAAGUUAUUGAUUACCGUACCAAAGCUGACAACUGGAAGGAGCAAUUUGAGGGUCUUCAACUAGAGAAGGAAGUUUUGGCUGAAGAGAAGAAUGCCUUGGAGCAACAAGCGAAGAUGGUUGCGGCUGAGUUAGAAAUUGAAAAGGCAUCUUCAAGUCAAGUUGGCAAAGACAAGGAUAUCCUUGAGUCUUCAUUCGCUGAGUAGCUUUCGAAAGCCACUGAAGAGAUAAGGGGUCUGAAGGAACUUCUUAACCAGAAAGAGACUUAUAUCGGAGAGUUAGUUCAAUCACUUAUACAAACUCAAGAAGAUCUUCGUGCCUCUUCUGAUAAGAUCAAGUUCUUGGAGAGUUCUCUUGCCCCUUUGAAGACUGCCUCCGAUGCUUUCAAAGUUGAGAAAGAAGAUCUGAAGGCUGAGAUUGAUCAGUGGGAGAAAGAUUAUGAAGCUCUUGAAGAUAAGUUGACACUCGAUGUGAGUUGGGCUUUUUUUAAUACCCGCCUCGAAACUUUGAUAGAGGCUAGCCAGGAAGGCUUCGACCUGAAUGCUGAGAUCGCCAAAGCUAAAAAAACGAUUGAAAAAACUCGGCAAAGUCAAAGUUUUUCCUCACCUGAGGUUGAUAUUUCCGAAGGUGAUGAUCCUAUUCCUGGUAAAGUUUGUGCUCAAUCCCCUACUCCCCAAGAUGAAUCUUCUCCUGUUGUUGAUGAUGCCACCUUGGAUGUUACCCCUUAGUUUUAUUUGAAACUUUUUUAUGGGAAUUAUUUUUUUCGUUUUGGAAUGGAUGUUAGUUUUUAAUCCUAUCUUGUUUUGGGGUUUGAUAGCAAACAAGUACCUUAGUUUUGGCCAAGUUUAAUAUAUAAAUCUUUGCUUAUUUUGAUGUUGAGUUUUUGUUUUACUCUUUGGCUUUUAAACCUGCAUUUAAAAUACUUUAAUAUUUCGUGAUUUUGAUAGACACGAAUUUUUAUAAAAGAGGGUCCUUUUUAUAAACAACACUAAUGAAGAAGAUGUCCCAACUUCAUAUUGGUGUAAAUAUAUGAAAGUAGUAGAAAAAGGAAUACUUUGAGGAAGUUUCAUGCUUUGAAAUUUCAAAUUUUAUAUAACACAUUUCAUGUAUACAAAUAACUUUUUGUACAACAUCUACAAUUCUUUCAUAACUGUGUUCUUUGUAAUAGGUUUCAAAAUUUCGGGUCUAUUUAGUAACCCGUGACUAAUUAUUGCCCUUAACCUAUAAACUCGUAGGAACUUGAAAUGUAUCUUGUGUCCAUCUUGUAUCUUUCCCGCGAGUUUAUACCUUAUCAAGCCUACUUCAAAGGUUUUUGACUCAGGCUUAUUUUUUGGAUCUUGAUUAACUCUUGACUUUUGACUUUUGACUUUUGGACUGAUCCAGGCUUGAAUUCUAACUUUUAGUCUUCUUUGCCUUUAUAUAUACAGUCCCCCAAAUGUUAGAGCUUUGAAGUAUGAAAUCUCGAGCACUUGAUUGUUCCUUCCAUUUGGUCCAUUUCCUGAAAAGAAAAAUACAUACGGGACUCAAAGGUAUAUAUUUAGAUGAUGACUACUUAACCCUUCUUAUUUCCAUCAAAAAGGUUGUAACCUAGACUGGGAAUAAUUCUGUAUUCCGCGUGUCUUUCGGAUCUAAUGUCAUCAUUUGGUAUGGGCUAGAUUUUUGCCUAUCAUCUAAAAUUGUUAGUAUAAUUUAAAAGAACAAAAUAAAAUCACAGUUGAGCAAUACCUGACCGUGGGUACUUCCUUUGCCUAGAAGUAAUACUUCUUUAAAUGAACAACAUUCUAAUACGAUGGUAGUACCUUGCCUUCCAUGGUUUCCAACUCAUAAGCCCUUUUUUUCCGGCGGUGCUUCGAAUCUUGUAAGGACCUUCCCAAUUUGGACUCAACUUCCCGGCACCAGUUGCUUUAGUUGUUUGAAAACCAUUUUUGAGAACGAAGUCCCCAAUCUUGAAGUAUCUGAGAUAAGCUUUCCUGUUGUAGUAUCGCUCAAUAAUUUGCUUCUGAGCUGCCAUUCUUAUUAGAGCCGCUUCUCUCUUUUCCUCGAGUAAAUCUAAAUCCGUUCUCAUCUCUUCACCAUUUGAUUCAUCAGUUCUUGUGUAAAUCUCGUACUUGGCUCACCUAUUUCAACUGGAAUUAAGGCUUCAGCACCAUAAACAAGUGAAAAUGGAGUCUCUCCCGUGCCUGUCUUUGAUGUCGUUCGAUAAGCCCAUAAUACUCCUGGUAGCACCUCAGGCCACUUUCCUUAUGAUUCCUCUAAUCUUUUCUUCAAAUUAUUAAUAAUAACCUUAUUUGUUGAUUCAGCUUGUCCAUUGGCCACGGGGUGUUCUUUUAAAAAUUCACACAAACUCAAUGAACUAAUAUGCUGCUUUACUUUUUCAUGCAAAAAUAACGUUGAAAUUUGUGCUCCAAAACUAAAAACAAAUACUCUUUUUUUGGUAGAAAAAAAAAAGUAAUCUUUCUACAACAUGAAAAGAAAAUACUUAUUUUGUUAAAAUAAAAGAAAAUAUUUUUUCUACAUCAUGAAAAGAAAGAAAAAGAAACAAUUGACUUGUUUCGUAGCCAGCAUAAAUUGAUGGUUUUCUUAUUUGUAAUCGAGAGAAAUAUAUUUAAGUUUUAUAUUGUAUUAAUAGAUCGUUUUUACAAUUUUAUUUUAUUUUGGUUUUCUACCCAGCGUUCGGUACUUGUAUUGGAGUCCGAUUAUAUCCGGAUUCGCGCCGCGUAUGGCACAUUCGGGGAGAAGCGCUCCAUACUAACGAUUUUUCCAUACUCACGUCUUGAACCCGAGACUUCUAGUUAAGGAAAGAGCAGCCAUAUCUGCUGCACCAUCGUUUUUACAUUUCAAUGAAUAUUAACCUGUGAUAACAAGUUAAUUAGUUGAUACUCUUAUUAGGUUAUGGAUUAAUAUUUAUAAUAAAAGUUUAUAAGUAUGACUAAUUAUUUACUUUAUCGAUUUAUAAAACUUAAAUUCUAUUAAAAUACAGAGCAAAAGGAGAUUGUAGCGGCGAAAAAGCCAGGAGAAGUGUUAGCAUGGGAGGACAUGCUGAAAAUGAAGUACUCAUGGAAUGUUAUAUGUGAAACAAUGAGGCUAACUCCACCUCUUCAAGGUACUUUUAGACAAGUGCUAACAGACUUCACCUAUGCUGGUUACUCCAUCCCCAAGGGUUGGAAGGUAUUUCCAUUUACUUUGACCAUCUCACUAUUUUAUUUUAUAUUUUUUUUCGUAGUUUUGUUUCAACUUGGAAGGGAGCCUCAGAGCAUCGGUAGAGUUGUCUGCGUGUGAUCUAUAGGUCACGGGUUCAAGCAGUGAAAGCAGUCAUUAAUGUUUGCAUUAUGGUAUGCUGUCUACAUCACAUCCCUAGGGGUGCGGCCCUUCAUCUGACCAUGCGUGAAUGCGGGAUGCUUUGUGCAUCGGGCUUUUCUUUUUAGUUUAGUUUCAAUUUGAUAUAAAAAGCUUAAAUUUGAAAAAUUAGUUUGGAGAGUAUUCAAAUAAAAAAAUAUUUUCAAGUGAAAUGUAUAUUCGAUCACAAUUUUAAAACCCAAAUAGGCUUUUCCAAUCUCUAUAUCAAAUACUUAUUUUUUCAACCUCAACCAGAUAGCGAUCGAAUGGUUUGAAGUUUUUUAAUAAAAAAAAGGUAUUUGGAACACACUCAGUAACCACUUAAGAAUACAUCUUAUCUCAACCUUAAUAAUUAAUUGGUUCAAAGGUCAAAAGUUCCGUAGUGUUCCACUAAUCUGAACAUUUUGCGACCAAAUUCCACUUUGAUAUUAUGAUAUAUUAAUCCUCCAAACUCUGGAGCCAAUAAUCUGCCGACAUGAUAUUAAAGUUUAAUGAAUUAAUAUGAUGCCUACACCAGAAAAAGGACUUCCUAUCCGUCUUCACCAACACUAAAAAUUAAUUAAGAAACCAUCACCUUUUUAGAUUAUAUUCUCUUAGCCAUCAAAAUAUAUAGGACUUUCGAUUUCAAUUAAUAAAAUUAUCAGAUUUUUCUUUUUCUUGAUCUUGUUUUAAAGUUGUGAGUUCACUAAGGACUUGUUAUUG
rnacentral:lncRNA from 1 species